rnacentral:rRNA from 1 species
UACGGAGGGGACUAGCGUUGUUCGGAAUUACUGGGCGUAAAGCGCACGUAGGCGGAUUUGUAAGUCAGGGGUGAAAUCCCAGGGCUCAACCUUGGAACUGCCUUUGAUACUGCAAGUCUUGAGUCCGGGAGAGGUGAGUGGAAUUCCGAGUGUAGAGGUGAAAUUCGUAGAUAUUAGGAAGAACACCAGUGGCGAAGGCGGCUCACUGGCCCGGUACUGACGCUGAGGUGCGAAAGCGUGGGGAGCAAACAGG